UAGGAUAGAGGCCUACCAUGGUGGUAACGGGUAACGGGGUGUUAGGGCACGACACCGGAGAGGGAGCCUGAGAAACGGCUACCACAUCCAAGGAUGGCAGCAGGCGCGCAAAUUACCCAAUCCCGACACGGGGAGGUAGUGACAAUAAAUAACAAUACGGGGUUCUUUCGGAUCUCGUAAUUGGAAUGAGUACAAUUUAAAUCUCUUAACGAGGAACAAUUGGAGGGCAAGUCUGGUGCCAGCAGCCGCGGUAAUUCCAGCUCCAAUAGCGUAUAUUAAAGUUGUUGCAGUUAAAAAGCUCGUAGUUGAAUUUCGGGGUUAGUAGGUUGGUCAUGCCUCUGGUAUGUACUGGUCUCACUGAUUCCCCCUUCCUGAUGAACCGUAAUGCCAUUAAUUUGGUGUUGCGGGGAAUUUGGACUGUUACUUUGAAAAAAUUAGAGUGUUUAAAGCAAGCUAACGCUUGAAUACAUUAGCAUGGAAUAAUGAAAUAGGACGUUCGAUCCUAUUUUGUUGGUUUCUAGGAUUGACGUAAUGAUUAAUAGGGAUAGUUGGGGGCAUUAGUAUUCAAUUGUCAGAGGUGAAAUUCUUGGAUUUAUUGAAGACUAACUACUGCGAAAGCAUUUGCCAAGGAUGUUUUCAUUAAUCAAGAACGAAAGUUAGGGGAUCGAAGACGAUCAGAUACCGUCGUAGUCUUAACCAUAAACUAUGCCGACUAGGGAUCGGAU
rnacentral:rRNA from 1 species